AGCGAACGCUGGCGGCAGGCUCAACACAUGCAAGUCGAGCGGGCGUAGCAAUACGUCAGCGGCAGACGGGUGAGUAACACGUGGGAACGUACCUUUUGGUUCGGAACAACACAGGGAAACUUGUGCUAAUACCGGAUAAGCCCUUACGGGGAAAGAUUUAUCGCCGAAAGAUCGGCCCGCGUCUGAUUAGCUAGUUGGUGAGGUAAUGGCUCACCAAGGCGACGAUCAGUAGCUGGUCUGAGAGGAUGAUCAGCCACACUGGGACUGAGACACGGCCCAGACUCCUACGGGAGGCAGCAGUGGGGAAUAUUGGACAAUGGGCGCAAGCCUGAUCCAGCCAUGCCGCGUGAGUGAUGAAGGCCCUAGGGUUGUAAAGCUCUUUUGUGCGGGAAGAUAAUGACGGUACCGCAAGAAUAAGCCCCGGCUAACUUCGUGCCAGCAGCCGCGGUAAUACGAAGGGGGCUAGCGUUGCUCGGAAUCACUGGGCGUAAAGGGUGCGUAGGCGGGUCUUUAAGUCAGGGGUGAAAUCCUGGAGCUCAACUCCAGAACUGCCUUUGAUACUGAGGAUCUUGAGUUCGGGAGAGGUGAGUGGAACUGCGAGUGUAGAGGUGAAAUUCGUAGAUAUUCGCAAGAACACCAGUGGCGAAGGCGGCUCACUGGCCCGAUACUGACGCUGAGGCACGAAAGCGUGGGGAGCAAACAGG
rnacentral:rRNA from 1 species